rnacentral:sRNA from 1 species
CUGCGCCCAGCGGAGCUCCGAGCACGUGCGCAGAGGCUGGCUGUGGCAGAUGCAACUGCAGGAUGACUUGAAAGUAGGGCAUCCUUCACCCAUCUGAAGGGAGGAAAUAGUGGCAGGUGACAGUCUGCAUGUGCAGUUUUCAGAUGCCUUCACCUGAAUGACAUCUACCUCCGUCAGGACCCCAGAUGUCUGACAGCCCUGUGUGACACCAAGAUAAGUAACGUAUGUAGUCUUCUUGUCAUGUAGGUCCCAAUUAAAUUACUAUAGCUCAGAUGGGGGUAGGGAACUUAAAAUUAUGAUUUGAAAAAUUAUGUAGAGUAUCAGACUUUUUUUUUUGGGGGGGGGACGGAGUCUUGCUCAGUUGCCCAGGCUAGAGUACAGUGGCUCGAUCUCGGCUCACUGCAACCUCUGCCUCCUGGGUUCAAGCGAUUCUCCUGCCUCAGCCUCCCGAGUAGCUGGCACUACAGGCACCUGCCACCAUGCCAGGCUAAUUUUUUUAUUUUAAGUAGAGACGAGGUUUCACCAUAUUGGCCAGGCUGGUCUGAAACUCCUGACCUUGCGAUUUGCCUGCCUUGGCCUCCCAAAAUGCUGGGAUUACAGGUUUUUUUGUUUGUUUUUUGAGACGGAGUCUCACUGUCUCCCAGGCUGGAGUGCAAUGGCGCAAUCUCGGCUCACUACAACC